UGAAUGAAAAUUCUGGGUGUAAAGAGU
rnacentral:piRNA from 1 species